GGAUAUAUAUAAUGCAAUCAAUGAUGAAAAUGAAACUUGAUUUACAAAAGAAAGGGCAAAUUUUUUUUUUAUGAUGUGAUGCCUGCCAACCAACCCAUCCAUAAACAUGAAGUGUAGUCACCUAUUAUCUACAUCUUCCUUUGAACUGCAUCCAAAAACUCAUAUCCUUUAUCUAAAAUCAGUAGCAUCAUGCAUGAUUUUUGGACUUACUCUUUUUAUAUUUUGGAUGAUACUUGGUCUGCAGAUGCUUUUCUUCCUGUUAGUUUAUGGAGUUGUAUUGUACAUUAUAAGAAUUGUUUAUUGGAUUUAGAUGAUUUCAUCAACAUUGAAAAGCUCUAUGUGAAGGUAGAGGUGUGCAAUUGGUCAGUUCGGUUC
rnacentral:misc_RNA from 1 species